CUCACUGCAGGUCCUCCAGUGGUCUAUGAGUACCUGACUACUAUCGAGCUGCAAACCACAAAUGUUACAGUGAUAGAGGAACUGAGGAUUAUCCUGGAUAACAUCAGCUACCCCUUCCCCAUCGACAGCAACAUACUGAUCUCGGAGGUCAACAUCACCACAGUUUGCUCUCCAUUCGGGGCUAGGUUCCAAUGCACAUGUGAGGAUCCGUAUCGCUGGCCAUGUGACAAGUGUCUUCUGCAUGGGUCAUGUGACAACAUCACUGAUGAGACGUGUGGAUGCAUCAAUGCCCUUCCUCCUGAUGAAGAAUACUGCCAGCUCUCCCAACUCAUCAAUACAACUUGUCCUAUCACAACUUCUGCACCUCCGUCCACCACUUCUACACCUCCAUCUACCACUUCUCCAACUCCAUCUACCACUUCUCCACCUCCAUCAACCACUUCUCCAACUCCAUCCACCACUUCUCCAACUCCAUCAACAAGUCCUCCAGUGGUCUAUGAGUACCUGACUACUAUCGAGCUGCAAACCACAAAUGUUACAGUGAUAGAGGAACUGAGGAGCAUCCUGGAUAACAUCAGCUACCCCUUCCCCCUCGACAGCAACAUACUGAUCUCUGAGGUCAACAUCACCACAGUUUGCUCUCCAUUCGGGGCUGGGUUCCAAUGCACAUGUGAGGAUCCGUAUCGCUGGCCAUGUGACAAGUGUCUUCUGCAUGGGUCAUGUGACAACAUCACUGAUGAGACGUGUGGAUGCAUCAAUGCCCUUCCUCCUGAUGAAGAAUACUGCCAGCUCUCCCAACUAAGUACGUUCUCAUAUCUGGUCACAGUUGACAUAAAACUGUGGAUACAGCCAAGAAUCUGAAGCUGUGACACUCUACAAGGCCUCAAUUCUCCUGAGUCCUUAAUGUAAGAGUAUUGACCCAUACUGGGAUUGAUCAAACAAUAGACAUGGUUAAAUCGCUAACUCUAAGGACUCCCUCCCAUUUUUAGAAGUCAUUAUUUUAGAAGAACUUUAUAAUGUGUUAUGGUGAUUUGCUUCUUAAUGUCAGCAGGUUAUGAGGUGAAUAACUUUGUGUUAAACUUUUAUGUAAACUAUGAACUUGACUUUUGUCUCCAAUCAGUCAAUACAACUUGUCCUAUCACAACUUCUGCACCUCCGUCCACAACUUCUCCACCUCCAUCUACCACUUCUCCA